rnacentral:rRNA from 1 species
UACGUAGGGACCAAGCGUUGUUCGGAUUCAUUGGGCGUAAAGGGUGCGUAGGUGGCGCCGUAAGUCGGGUGUGAAAUUUCGGAGCUUAACUCCGAAACUGCAUUCGAUACUGCGGUGCUUGAGGACUGGAGAGGAGACUGGAAUUCAUGGUGUAGCAGUGAAAUGCGUAGAGAUCAUGAGGAAGACCAGUGGCGAAGGCGGGUCUCUGGACAGUUCCUGACACUGAGGCACGAAGGCCAGGGGAGCAAACGGG